rnacentral:rRNA from 1 species
AGAUUGAACGCUGGCGGCAUGCCUUACACAUGCAAGUCGAACGGCAGCACGGGAGCAAUCCUGGUGGCGAGUGGCGAACGGGUGAGUAAUACAUCGGAACGUGCCCAAUCGUGGGGGAUAACGCAGCGAAAGCUGUGCUAAUACCGCAUAAGAUCUACGGAUGAAAGCAGGGGAUCGCAAGACCUUGCGCGAAUGGAGCGGCCGAUGGCAGAGUUAGGUAGUGGUGAGGUAAGCUCACCAGCUUCGAUCUGUAGCUGGUCUGAGAGGACGACCAGCCACACUGGGACUGAGACGACGCCCAGACUCCGUACGGGAGCAGCAGGUGGGAAUUUGGACAAGUGGGACGAAACGCCUAGACUACCGAGUCCAGUCGCCGUACGU